UCAAGAAAGAAUAUUAAAAUGGCGUCUUCCAAAGUAUCUUCCAUGCUUCUCUUUCUCUUUCUUCUCGUUCUUGUGUUUCACCAAAUGGAUAAAGCCCUUGGUGAACAAAUCCAGCUCAGCAACCGCAAACUUAGUUAGUCUUUUACUCUUUUUUUGUAUUUAAAUAAUGUCAGCGUUUUUAUUUUAGGGAAAUUACCUAUAAUAACAUACAUUUUGUGUGUAAUGACUAGAUUAACAUACAAAAACGAAAAAAAGAAAGAAAAAGUGGGUUAAAGUCCAAAAUGCCCAAUCCAUUAACUUAAUUAAGCCAAUUUAAAAAAUAAAUACUCCUAAAGCACAAGUAAAAAUACAGUUAUAUUGACAAAAAUAAAAGGUAAAAGCUUAAAAAAUAAAAAAGUAAACCCAACGACAACUCUCUUUCCUAUGACCCCAAGAACCCUAAAUCCCCAAAUUGUGAAAUCCUCAAACUCUUGAUUCUCUUUCUUUUUAACAUGAUUCCUCAUCGAUUCAGUCAUGUCCCCCUCUCUACUCUACCAUUAAAACAUUCGAUUCACAUAGGAUAAUGAAUCCGAAACCCAGUCGACGAACCCUAAAUCCCCUUUCUGAAAUUCACAUUUCCGUCGAUCUCAAGCCUUUCAUCACUUAUUCUCGUUGAUUUCCACACUAUUAUAAGCUCAUAUCCGCUUCAAUCAGUUUAUUUCAUCAAUUCGUGCAAUCAAAGGUUAGUCUCUGUCAUUCGAUUUUUAUUUAUUUAUUUUUGGAAAUCAAUGAAUUCCAUUUUCUUCAUCACAGAGUUCAUAUUAGUGUUUUUCGUCUUUACAUAUGUCGAUAUCAGUUUGGGUGUUGUUGUUGUUGUUCAGGUUUUAAGGAAUCACUGUUCUUCUUGUUUUGUUCACUUUACUCUUUACAAUGCAGAAGCAAUCUUCUGGAAAUAUACAAUCUAUCUUUGGACCACCAAGGAAUCGUUGGACAGUAUCAUCAUAGUUUUUUUUUUUUUGGAAAAGGCUGCAAGUUCCAUUGAAUACUGAUGAUGUCUCUGGUAUGGUGCGUCUUGUAAAAAUGAAUGCGUAGAGAAAUAUAGGAGGUUUUUUUCAGACACUGGUGAGAUGUUCCUGCAAGGCUGAGGAAAAAAAGUUCACAUCAGCUAAAGAUUUCAAAACUCAAAAGUGUGCCUAGAAUGAGGAUCCUGGUGACUGUGGUGUUUAAGCCGUGAAGUAUAUUGAGUGUAAGGCGAUUGGUUGCGGUUUUGAGGACUUUCUGACUGGUGCAUCCCGACAACGCGUAUUAAGUUUGCUGCUGAGAUCUAUGAUGAGGUUGCGGAUAUGUAGUUGUAUUUCAUCUUUUAGAAACCAAACUUAUUUACUACUUUGUGGAAUUGUGAAAAUAUCUUUAUUUUCUUGUCCAAUGGUUAAUGUUACUUUACUUUGAAAGAGUCCUUGAAAGGGAUAUCAGAAAAGAGUAAUGCAUA